rnacentral:rRNA from 1 species
UACAGAGGGGGCAAGCGUUGUUCGGAAUUACUGGGCGUAAAGAGCGCGCAGGCGGUCAGAUAAGUCGAAUGUGAAAGCCCCCGGCUCAACUGGGGAGGGUCAUUCGAUACUGUUCGACUCGAAGGCAGGAGAGGGAAGCGGAAUUCCCGGUGUAGUGGUGAAAUGCGUAGAUAUCGGGAGGAACACCAGUGGCGAAGGCGGCUUCCUGGCCUGUUCUUGACGCUGAGGCGCGAAAGCUAGGGGAGCAAACGGG